GACGAACGCUGGCGGCGUGCUUAACACAUGCAAGUCGAACGGAAAGGCCCCCACCAUUUUUGGUGGGGGUGCUCGAGUGGCGAACGGGUGAGUAACACGUGGGUGAUCUGCCCUGUACUUCGGGAUAAGCUUGGGAAACUGGGUCUAAUACCGGAUAGGACCAUGGUUUAGUGUCUCAUGGUGGAAAAAUUAUUGUUUUGGUGCAGGAUGAGCUCGCGGCCUAUCAGCUUGUUGGUGGGGUAAUGGCCUACCAAGGCGUCGACGGGUAGCCGGCCUGAGAGGGUGGACGGCCACAUUGGGACUGAGAUACGGCCCAGACUCCUACGGGAGGCAGCAGUGGGGAAUAUUGCACAAUGGGCGCAAGCCUGAUGCAGCGACGCCGCGUGGGGGAUGACGGCCUUCGGGUUGUAAACUCCUUUCGUUAGGGACGAAGCCACACCUUUUUUGGG
rnacentral:rRNA from 1 species